AUUGAACGCUGGCGGCAGGCCUAACACAUGCAAGUCGAGCGGAUGAAGGGAGCUUGCUCCUGGAUUCAGCGGCGGACGGGUGAGUAAUGCCUAGGAAUCUGCCUGGUAGUGGGGGAUAACGUCCGGAAACGGGCGCUAAUACCGCAUACGUCCUGAGGGAGAAUGUGGGGGAUCUUCGGACCUCACGCUAUCAGAUGAGCCUAGGUCGGAUUAGCUAGUUGGUGGGGUAAAGGCCUACCAAGGCGACGAUCCGUAACUGGUCUGAGAGGAUGAUCAGUCACACUGGAACUGAGACGCGGUCCAGACUCCUACGGGAGGCAGCAGUGGGGAAUAUUGGACAAUGGGCGAAAGCCUGAUCCAGCCAUGCCGCGUGUGUGAAGAAGGUCUUCGGAUUGUAAAGCACUUUAAGUUGGGAGGAAGGGCAGUAAGUUAAUACCUCGCUGUUUUGACGUUACCAACAGAAUAAGCACCGGCUAACUUCGUG
rnacentral:rRNA from 1 species